rnacentral:rRNA from 1 species
GUCUUAUUGAAUUUAAUAAUAAGUUUAACCUGCCCACUGAAAAUAUAUUUAAAUGGCCGCAGUAUAUUAACUGUGCAAAGGUAGCAUAAUAAUUUGUCUUUUAAUUGAAGACUGGAAUGAAUGGUUGGACGUAAAAAUUACUGUCUCUAUUUUUUAUAUUGAAUUUUACUUUUAAGUGAAAAGGCUUAAAUUUUAUUAAGGGACGAGAAGACCCCAUCAAGUUUUAUAAAUUUAUACAAUAAUUUUUUCUAUUAUUAUUAUAUAAUUUAUUUUUCUGGGGCGGAAAAAAUAGUUUAUCUUUUUUUAAUAUAUUAAUAACUUAUAAGUUUACUAUUGAAUUUUUAUUAAAAAUAAAAUGAAUAAAUUACUGUGGGGGUAACAGCGUUAUUUCUUUUUAAAGUUCAUAUUAAUAAAGAAGAUUGCGACCUCGAUGUUGGAUUAAUUUAACUAAAUGGUGAAGAAGCUAUUGUUAUAAGUAAGUCUGUUCGACUUUUAAUAAAUUACA